ACCGAGGCUACAUGUUGAAUGAAAGGCACUGUAAGUCUGCUGGGUCUGUGACCGAGGCUACGUGUUGAAUGAAAGGCACUGUAAGUCUGCUGGGUCUGUGACCGAGGCUACGUGUUGAAUGAAAGGCACUGUAAGUCUGCUAGGUCUGUGACCGAGGCUACAUGUUGAAUGAAAGGCACUGUAAGUCUGCUAGGUCUGUGACCGAGGCUACAUGUUGAAUGAAAGGCACUGUAAGUCUGCUAGGUCUGUGACCGAGGCUACAUGUUGAAUGAAAGGCACUGUAAGUCUGCUAGGUCUGUGACCGAGGCUACUACAUGUUGAAUGAAAGGCACUGUAAGUCUGCUGGGUCUGUGACCGAGGCUACGUGUUGAAUGAAAGGCACUGUAAGUCUGCUGGGUCUGUGACCGAGGCUAGAUGUUGAAUGAAAGGCACUGUAAGUCUGCUGGGUCUGUGACCGAGGCUACAUGUUGAAUGAAAGGCACUGUAAGUCUGCUGGGUCUGUGACCGAGGCUACAUGUUGAAUGAAAGGCACUGUAAGUCUGCUGGGUCUGUGACCGAGGCUACGUGUUGAAUGAAAGGCACUGUAAGUCUGCUGGGUCUGUGACCGAGGCUACGUGUUGAAUGAAAGGCACUGUAAGUCUGCUGGGUCUGUGACCGAGGCUACGUGUUGAAUGAAAGGCACUGUAAGUCUGCUGGGUCUGUGACCGAGGCUACAUGUUGAAUGAAAGGCACUGUCAGUCUGCUGGGUCUGUGACCGAGGCUAGAUGUUGAAUGAAAGGCACUGUCAGUCUGCUAGGUCUGUGACCGAGGCUACGUGUUGAAUGAAAGGCACUGUAAGUCUGCUGGGUCUGUGACCGAGGCUAGAUGUUGAAUGAAAGGCACUGUAAGUCUGCUGGGUCUGUGACCGAGGCUACAUGUUGAAUGAAAGGCACUGUAAGUCUGCUGGGUCUGUGACCGAGGCUAGAUGUUGAAUGAAAGGCACUGUAAGUCUGCUGGGUCUGUGACCGAGGCUACAUGUUGAAUGAAAGGCACUGUAAGUCUGCUGGGUCUGUGACCGAGGCUACGUGUUGAAUGAAAGGCACUGUAAGUCUGCUGGGUCUGUGACCGAGGCUACAUGUUGAAUGAAAGGCACUGUAAGUCUGCUGGGUCUGUGACCGAGGCUACGUGUUGAAUGAAAGGCACUGUAAGUCUGCUGGGUCUGUGACCGAGGCUAGAUGUUGAAUGAAAGGCACUGUAAGUCUGCUGGGUCUGUGACCGAGGCUACAUGUUGAAUGAAAGGCACUGUAAGUCUGCUAGGUCUGUGACCGAGGCUACGUGUUGAAUGAAAGGCACUGUAAGUCUGCUGGGUCUGUGACCGAGGCUACGUGUUGAAUGAAAGGCACUGUAAGUCUGCUGGGUCUGUGACCGAGGCUACGUGUUGAAUGAAAGGCACUGUAAGUCUGCUGGGUCUGUGACCGAGGCUACGUGUUGAAUGAAAGGCACUGUAAGUCUGCUGGGUCUGUGACCGAGGCUACAUGUUGAAUGAAAGGCACUGUAAGCCUGCUAGGUCUGUGACCGAGGCUACAUGUUGAA